rnacentral:lncRNA from 1 species
CUAGAUCUUAAAAUCUGCGUUUGCGUCACUAAACCUACAUUCUUCUGCAAGGCAUCUGACCUUUGUAAGGUAUGAGGCUUUUAUUCCGGAUUUCCAUGCUGAACGAAGGCCAGGAGAAAUGGCUCGGUGCAGAAAUAAUACUUCAUCAGACUGACCUAGUUUGCAGGACCGCGGGUGCUUGCAAAGGAUAAUUAUCUUCUGUGAAUCGUUUCCAUCAAUGCAUCAGUCAAUCAAUCUUCACCAACACCACACGCCAUCAGCAACUCCAUUUUGUUGUUUCUUCUAAUGGAAGCGGCUCUCCAUGAGAGUUCUGAUGAGUUCGAGUGAUGAACGAGGACACAGUUUGGUGAGAGGUACCAGUCCCUGGGUCCCCGUCCCCCAUCCGUACACAACGUCCUUCGGCUCUCGCAGGCGCAUCAUGUGCCGCCGGAGCGGACAGAUGAAGAAGAGGAUAUUAAGUGACUC